rnacentral:rRNA from 1 species
UACGUAGGUGACAAGCGUUGUCCGGAUUUACUGGGCGUAAAGAGCGCGCAGGCGGUCGUUCAAGUCGAGUGUGAAAGCCCCCCGGCUCAACUGGGGAGGGUCAUUCGAUACUGAUCGACUCGAAGGCAGGAGAGGGUAGUGGAAUUCCCGGUGUAGUGGUGAAAUGCGUAGAUAUCGGGAGGAACACCAGUGGCGAAGGCGGUUCUCUGGGCAUUACCUGACGCUGAGGAGCGAAAGUGUGGGGAGCGAACAGG